GAAACCAACAGGGAUUGCCCUAGUAACGGCGAGUGAAGCGGCAACAGCUCAAAUUUGAAAUCUGGCCCUUGGGUCCGAAUUGUAAUUUGUAGAGGAUGAUUUUGGUGCGGUAUCUUCCGAGUUCCUUGGAACAGGACGCCUUAGAGGGUGAGAGCCCCGUACGGUUGAAUGCCUAGCCUCUGUAAAUCUCCUUCGACGAGUCGAGUAGUUUGGGAAUGCUGCUCUAAAUGGGAGGUAAAUUUCUUCUAAAGCUAAAUACUGGCCAGAGACCGAUAGCGCACAAGUAGAGUGAUCGAAAGAUGAAAAGCACUUUGAAAAGAGGGUUAAAUAGCACGUGAAAUUGUUGAAAGGGAAGGAUUUAUGACCAGACUUUUUCUGGGCGGAUCAUCCGGUGUUCUCACCGGUGCACUUUGCCCAGUUUAGGCCAGCAUCGAUUUUCGGAGAGGGAUAAAAGCUUUGGGAAUGUGGCUCCCUCCGGGGAGUGUUAUAGCCCAUUGUAUAAUACCUUUCUGGGGAUCGAGGUACGCGCUUCUGCAAGGAUGCUGGCGUAAUGGUUAUCAAUCACCCGUCUUGAAACACGGACCAAGGAGUCGAACAUUUGUGCAAGUGUUUGGGUGUUAAACCCUCACGCGUAAUGAAAGUGAACGGAGGUGAGAGCCCUUACGGGUGCAUCAUCGACCGAUCCUGAAGUUUUCGGAUGGAUUUGAGUAAGAGCAUAACUGUUCGGACCCGAAAGAUGGUGAACUAUGCGUGGAUAGGGUGAAGCCAGAGGAAACUCUGGUGGAGGCUCGCAGCGGUUCUGACGUGCAAAUCGAUCGUCAAAUCUGCGCAUGGGGGCGAAAGACUAAUCGAACCAUCUAGUAGCUGGUUACCG
rnacentral:rRNA from 1 species